rnacentral:lncRNA from 1 species
GCUGCUCAUUGUUUCUAUAUUGGCUCAAUAUUGAUUCAUUUUCGUUCGCACAUCAAUGUUGUGCCAAUGUUGGGUCAAUAUUGUAUUUUAUUCAGUACAUCUAAUCUUGGUAAACAAUAUUGUACCCAUAUUAGUUUCUUAGUUUUCGCCAAUAUUGAAAAUAAUCAAUGUCGGCCCAUGAUUGGCAUUAACAAUAUUUUAUUGUGACAUUGGCCCAAUAUGCCUUUUAUAUUGAUGUUUUGGAUAUUGGCAUUUACAUAAUUAACUAAAUUGGAACAAUAUUGAAAUGCAUUCUGUUUAGAAUAAAAUCGCUACCUAUAGUAGAUAUCGAUACCUGGGUUGAUACUUUGACAUGUGGCUUGCAUCCCUACUAUCUCAUGAUUUUCAUAAAAGUUUGCUUUUAAAAUUCUUGCUCGAUUCCUAAAGCAUCUAGCGCCAAGGAUCGAUCGGGUAUUUCGCGUGUAAUCUAUAAAUAAAAAAAAACUUACACCAAAGACUAACCAAGGCGAUUUGGCGUAUUUUAAUUUAUUUUAAAUAAAUAAAGAAAUAAAUAAAAACAGCUGAAAAAAAAAUAAAAAAAAGCUCUGCCUCUGCCGGGGCUCGAACCAUCACCCGUCGCUCCCGAAUCGGCAGCCUCAACCACGGAGCUACACGCUGCUUUAGAAACCAGACUCUAUUGAAGCAUUACUUUCUUCUGCCGUUCCAAUACGCAUGCGCCGGCGCCGGGUGAUGCUUUGGAAUCGCCGCGCGCCGGGCCGCGUUCCGGUACCUAGAUCAGUGUUGCCAGAUGUAACAUAAUUAUCCAAUUAUUAUAACAAAAUUUUCCCAAAAAAAAUCUGUACCAUAAUCGAUAGUUGAAACAUAAUUUGGUAACCUGUUACAAUUAAUGUUUUAUCAACCAUGAAAUAUAUUUUUAUGAGAAAUAAUUUAACUUUAAGGUAGUUAAUGCAAAAUAACUCAAGUGGUUUUAAAGUUUAAAAAAAAUGUUAAGGUAUAAAGCAGUAAAUAUCCGCGGCAAAUCAAGUAAUUCCGAUUUUAAAAUGCGGGAAGAGAAACCAGACCCCAAAAUAUAAAACUGACUGAGAAAAUACGUUUAAUAGCUGGUUGAAACCUAUUAAAAUUAAGUUAAACCGACAAAAAAUAGAAUCCAAAUUUAUUGCUAUCAUUAUAUUUUUUAGAGAAUUCCCUCAGCCAAAUAUAUCGCUUGUAACAUAAUUUUAUAAUAAAUUCGAUACUUUGAUCUACAUUGAUCCAUAAUUUCAUAUCCGACACCUGGCAACGCUGACCUAGACGCUUUUACUGACGAGUUGACAUGACAUAAAAAGCUGUUGCUGUGACAGUGAAAGAUUUCUUUUGUAAGCAAAUUGUGUUUUUAUCGUGAUCAAAUCAAAGUUCACGGGUACCUAGGUUUACAACUUACAACCACAGAAAAUUUUACUGAAUCCAGCUUGAAGAAUAUUUCUUUAGUAAAAAUGCAGUGAAAGUACAUUUUCCAGACGCAACUGAUCUGGACAUUACGCGAUGUAUUGGUAUUUCACUAGCGACAGCCGGAGACCGGGAUGGGGGAAGAAUAUUUAGAGCUAAAAAUAAUACCAGCCAUGAAGAUAAUAUGUAGGCUUAUUUUAUUACUUAGUUAAUAUUUUUGUAAGAUAAAUUGUUUUCUUCAAUACAUUAAAGUUUCCAUACACA